UUAACCAAAUGAAAUUUUAAUUUCAUGCAUAAGAUCAGCAAUCUUUCAUUUUUAACCUACUUAUUAGGACUUCUGGAGGUUCAUAGGGAUAUCCCUCUACUCGUAGACCCAGUAUCAAAAUUUGACAAUUGACCCAGCUGUCCCCAUAUCCCAUCCAGUAAUGGGCGUCAAAACACCAUCGCCUCGAUAUCUCGUUUGUUAUGAGGGUAAACCAUAUUUACCAAAACCCUCUCGGUAU
rnacentral:lncRNA from 1 species